UAACCUGCCCAAGAGAUCGGGAUAACACCUGGAAACAGAUGCUAAUACCGGAUAACAACAGAUGAUGCCUAUCAACUGUUUAAAAGAUGGUUCUGCUAUCACUCUUGGAUGGACCUGCGGUGCAUUAGCUAGUUGGUAGGGUAACGGCCUACCAAGGCGAUGAUGCAUAGCCGAGUUGAGAGACUGAUCGGCCACAUUGGGACUGAGACACGGCCCAAACUCCUACGGAGGCAGCAGAG
rnacentral:rRNA from 1 species